rnacentral:rRNA from 1 species
AUUGAACGCUAGCGGCAUGCCUAACACAUGCAAGUCGAACGAGUGGCGGACGGGUGAGUAAUGUCUGGGAAACUGCCUGAUGGAGGGGGAUAACUACUGGAAACGGUAGCUAAUACCGCAUACCAUCGGAUCGGCCCAGAUGGGAUUAGCUAGUAGGUGGGGUAAAGGCUCACCUAGGCGACGAUCCCUAGCUGGUCUGAGAGGAUGACCAGCCACACUGGGACUGAGACACGGUCCAGACUCCUACGGGAGGCAGCAGUGGGGAAUAUUGGACAAUGGGCGCAAGCCUGAUGCAGCCAUGCCGCGUGUAUGAAGAAGGCCUUCGGGUUGUAAAGUACUUUCAGCGGGGAGGCGUUACCCGCAGAAGAAGCACCGGCUAACUCCGUGCCAGCAGCCGCGGUAAUUC